GCUGAAGUGGUGGAAUGGCAGACACGCAUGAUUCAGGUUCAUGUGCUUCGCGGCGUAGGGGUUCAAGUCCCCUCUUCAGCACCA
rnacentral:tRNA from 1 species